rnacentral:misc_RNA from 1 species
UUUCCGUAGGUGAACCUGCGGAAGGAUCAUUAACGAGUUGGGGUCGUCUAGGCCGGACCUCCCAACCCUAUGUUUAUUGAACCUCUGUUGCUGCGGCGGACCCGUCUCAUGACCGCCGGAGGACCGACGAAAGGCGUCCUCUGGCCAGCGUCCGCCGAUGGCCAACCACUUAAAACUCUGAAUGAAUCGUGUCAUAUGUCUAAGUCUAUGAUUAAAUUAAAGAAAAACUCUCAACAACGGAUCUCUUGGUUCUG